rnacentral:lncRNA from 1 species
CGGGAGUGUGGGGACGGUAAAGAGCUCCGGCAGCUCGGAGGUGACGGCUCUGAGCGUGAGAAGGCCGCCGGCUCCCGAGAAAUCCCCCUCCUCCGGGUUGUCCUUCGGAGUGUGGUUUAAAGUUCAGGAGCUGGUGGGAGGGUGAGGUGACGUCGAGAGGGUCGGUCGCCCGGGAGCACCUGGAGGCGGGCCGGGCGGCCUCCUGGCUGGGGGGGGUGGGGUGUGGAGAACGGCCCGGGGUUUUCGAUAGGUAGUUCCCCCUCUUCCCGAUUUCGCACAUGCAAAUCUCCACCCCCGCGCCGGGGCGCGUUGGAGCGCGGGCGUCCCGGCGUGCCCUCGAGGGGAAGUGCGGAAGCGGCCGUCGGCGAGGUUCGUUUGUAAUUCGUGUAUUUGCAUAGGGGACCCCCGCAGUCUGAUUUUCCUUCUUUAUAUCUACAUUUUGAGGGCUUGGUUAACUACGUAUUUUAUCUACUAAAACCUUUUAAACUCAAACGGUCUGCACUGCGAGUUCCUCGUUACGCAGUGAGUGGACACUAUAUCUUGAGAUUUGACAGAUACCCAUGAGGAAGGGGACGCUGAAACGAGCAUUUAGUGCAUUAAAGGAUCCAUUAUAACUUUAUUUUUUUCAUUUGCUAAUAAACACCUGUUGCCUUGUCUAGUAUGUGUUGAUAUCUUCAUUUUGUAAACGAGUUAAUAAGGAUUUGGAGAAAUUAAGUACUUCAGAACGCUGGUUAAAGGGAAAACAGUUUAAACCCAAAGUUAUCUGAUUCCAAGUCUCCACGCCUUUUCUCUGGUCCCGUGGUGCCAAAAAUAACUAUUUGGAGAGGAAAGGAAUGGGGAAUAUUAACCUGCUUUAUGAGUG